rnacentral:misc_RNA from 1 species
UUUGAUAUUCACACUCUUGGGUCUGUAAUAGUCUUCAAUUAAAUUUCGCAAGGUUAUUAUAAAAAUGGACUACAAGGGUGUGGCCAAAUUUAUUAAUACUUUGGAAAAAUGAUGAAUAUAAUGAAGUUUGUUCUCUUGAAAUCAUAUACGCCAUAAGCGAGUUUGUGAUUCAGUUUAGAGAGUUAUAAAUUCAACUGCUCAUUAACUAGCAAAGUUCAGAUUUUUUAUCUAAUUGUCACUUCGGUAUGGUCAUCCUUCCUAUUGCUUGGAACCAAACUCUAGUAAAAUGUUUCUAUUACUUAUUUUUUCUGUUAACCCUUAACCACGAUCACUUUAUUAAGGAACCAUCUCCAAGAUUGGACAAUAUAAGUACAAAAUUCUAGGGCCCCCCAUGGAAAAUGAUAGAAGCAAUCUAAUUUACAUACUUGUGCAUGAUAUUGGCUAAUUACAUGCCUUACCU